GUAAGCAUCAGGCUGGAGAUUCAGGUUGAUUCUAAGGAAGCCAACAGCCGUGUUGUGAGUACCCAAUGGAAAGUCUGUUGUGGCAGAAAACUGAUGUCUCCAGCCAACAGCACUGAGGCCCUGAGACCUGCCAACUGUCAUGAUCUUCCGAUGCCUGGACACAGAAAGAGCAGUGGAAGGGGUCGUUGCAUGAGCAAAGACAAAGAGUGGGACACUGACUGUUACAUCUCAAGGAGAAGGAUUGCCAGAUCAAAAGUCUUGCAGUUAACCAGGCGUGGUGGCAGAUACCUGUAAUCCCAGCUAUUCGGGAGGCUGAGGCAGGAGAAUCGCUUGUACCCGGGAGGCAGAGGUUGCAGUGAGCUGAGACCGCGCCAUUGACUCCUGCCUGAUGACAAGAGAGAAUCUACGUCUCAACAACAACAACACGCUUGGGCACUGUAUUAACUCCAUAAUCGAUGCUCUAACCACAAGCCCAGGAUGUGGUUUGGCCACUAUUGAGUGGUUUGUUCUCUCCAUCUAUUU
rnacentral:lncRNA from 1 species